AUGGCUGCCACCAGAACCAUUCUUCCCGCCGUUGCCGUGAUGACCGUCCUAAGCACCGCGUCUGCAGCAAUCUACAACGUGGGCGAGCCGGGCGGCGCAUGGGACCUCAGCACCAACUAGGGCACUUGGGCGUCCUCUAGGAAGUUCCAAACCAGCGAUCAGAUCGUCUUCAAGUACUCCCCUCAAGCACACGAUGUCCUUGAAGUCAGCAAGGCAGACUACGACUCCUGCACCACCGCUAGCCCCGUCACCACCCUCAACUCCGGGAAUGAUGUUGUCACCCUCAUCGCCACCGGCACCCGCUACUUCAUCUGCGGUUUCCCUGACCAUUGCGCGGGCGGCAUGAAGGUCAAGAUCGAUGUCAUGCCAGGCUCCUCUUCAGCACCCGCACCGGCCAUCGGUCCAAAUGCAAGCAACGCUGCCCCGCCAACACCUGUCUCCGCUGCAACCAAUGUGGAGGCCAUGGGGCUUGGCCUCGUUGUUUUGCUUGCCAUUGCCGGCCUCAUGGCUUGA
rnacentral:rRNA from 1 species